GCAAACUUGGUCAUUUAGAGGAAGUAAAAGUCGUAACAAGGUCUCCGUUGGUGAACCAGCGGAGGGAUCAUUACCGAGUUAUCUACUCAAAACCCAUUGUGAACCUUACCAUAACGUUGUUGCUUUGGUGGGCGGUUUCUUUCUUUUAGACUGAAGCCCUCUGGCAUCCUUCGGGAAGUGUCCACCAACAGCGCCAUACUCUGUUGCUAUUGUCUAGUUUUAUUAUCUGAUUUUAUGCAUACAAGCAAAAAUGCUAAAAACUUUCAACAACGGAUCUCUUGGCUGUGGCAUCGAUGAAGAACGCAGC
rnacentral:misc_RNA from 1 species